AUUGAACGCUGGCGGCAGGCCUAACACAUGCAAGUCGAGCGAGAACGUUACUUCGGUAACUAUUAAGCGGCGGACGGGUGAGUAACGCGUGGGAAUCUACCUAGUAGGUGGGGGACAACAGUUGGAAACGACUGCUAAUACCGCAUACGUCCUGUGGGAGAAGCGGGGGAUCUUCGGACCUCGUGCUAUUAGAUGAGCCCGCGUAAGAUUAGCUAGUUGGUGGGGUAAAGGCCUACCAAGGCGACGAUCUUUAGCUGGUCUGAGAGGAUGAUCAGCCACACUGGAACUGAGACACGGUCCAG
rnacentral:rRNA from 1 species